rnacentral:rRNA from 1 species
GACAGAGGGUGCAAACGUUGUUCGGAAUUACUGGGCGUAAAGCGCGCGUAGGCGGUUUUGCAAGCCAGAGGUGAAAUGCCUGAGCUCAACUUAGGAAUUGCCUUUGGGACUGCGAGGCUUUGAGGACGGGAGAGGUGAGUGGAAUUCCCAGUGUAGAGGUGAAAUUCGUAGAUAUUGGGAAGAACACCGGUGGCGAAGGCGGCUCACUGGCCCGUUUCUGACGCUGCAGCGCGAAAGCGUGGGGAUCAAACAGG